AUUGAACGCUGGCGGCAGGCCUAACACAUGCAAGUCGAGCGAGCGGCGGACGGGUGAGUAAUGUCUGGGAAACUGCUUGAUGGAGGGGGAUAACUACUGGAAACGGUAGCUAAUACCGCAUACUAUUAGAUGAGCCUAGGUCGGAUUAGCUAGUAGGUGGGGGAAAGGCUCACCUAGACGACGAUGCCUAGCUGGUAUGAGAGGAUGACCAGCCACACUGGAACGGAGCCACGGUCCAGACUCCUACGGGAGGCAGCAGUGGGGAAUAUUGUACAAUGGGCGAGCGCCUGAUCCAGCCAUGGCGCGUGUUUGAAGAAGGUCUUCGGGUUGUAAAGCACUUUAAGUUGGGAGGCGUUACCAACAGAAUAAGCACCGGCUAACUUCGUGCCAGCAGCCGCGGUAAUAC
rnacentral:rRNA from 1 species